UGUCUCUUACGGACUAGCCAAUGAAAUUGAUCCUUCAGUACAAAAGCUGGAAUUAACCCAUAAGACGAGAAGACCCUGUGGAGCUUCAAAACCAAAAUCACUAAACAUGCCUCCUGGUUUUUUAGUUGGGGCGACUUUGGAGCAAAAAAAAUCCUCCAAAACAUAAAGUCAUUUAUUAAGAAAAACACACCAAAAAUAAUAUUAUAGACCCAGCAGUACUAGUUUACUGUCUGAUCAAUGAACCAAGUUACCCCAGGGAUAACAGCGCCAUCCUCUUCUAGAGUCCUUAUCGACAAGAGGGUUUACGACCUCGAUGUUGGAUCAGGACAC
rnacentral:rRNA from 1 species